GGGGUAGUAGCUUAAAUCCGUUAAAGCACAACACUGAAAAUGUUAAGAUAGGACAAACUCGCCCCCA
rnacentral:tRNA from 1 species